GGGCCUUUAGCUCAGCUGGUUAGAGCAUCCGGCUCAUAACCGGGGUGUCCGGGGUUCGAGUCCCUGAAGGCCCACCA
rnacentral:tRNA from 1 species